rnacentral:misc_RNA from 1 species
GAUGAAGAACGUAGCGAAAUGCGAUAAGUAAUGUGAAUUGCAGAAUUCAGUGAAUCAUCGAAUCUUUGAACGCACAUUGCGCCCGCCAGUAUUCUGGCGGGCAUGCCUGUUCGAGCGUCAUUUCAACCAUCAAGCCCCCGGCUUGUGUUGGGGACCUGCGGCUGCCGCAGGCCCUGAAAACCAGUGGCGGGCUCGCUAGUCACUCCGAGCGUAGUAAUACAUCUCGCUCAGGGCGUGCUGCGGGUUCCGGCCGUUAAAAAGCCUUAUUUACCCAAGGUUGACCUCGGAUCAGGUAGGAAGACCCGCUGAACUUAAGCAUACAAUAAGCGGAGGA